rnacentral:rRNA from 1 species
GCACAAGCGGUGGAGCAUGUGGUUUAAUUCGAAGCAACGCGAAGAACUUACCAGGUCUUGACAUCCCUGACAACCCGAGAGAUCGGGCGUUCCCCUUCGGGGGACAGGGUGACAGGUGGUGCAUGGUUGUCGUCAGCUCGUGUCGUGAGAUGUUGGGUUAAGUCCCGCAACGAGCGCAACCCUCGACCUUAGUUGCCAGCAUUCAGUUGGGCACUCUAAGGUGACUGCCGGCUAAAAGUCGGAGGAAGUGGGGAUGACGUCAAAUCAUCAUGCCCCUUAUGUCCUGGGCCACACACGUGCUACAAUGGCCGGUACAGAGGGAAGCGAAGCCGUGAGGUGGAGCAAAUCCCAAAAACCGCUCUCAGUUCGGAUUGGAGUCUGCAACUCGACUCCAUGAAGCUGGAAUCGCUAGUAAUCGCGGAUCCAGCAUGCCGCGGUGAAUACGUUCCCGGGCCUU